AGGCUCCGCAGACGUCCUGAAGGUCCCUGAAAGCUGAAUGUGCUGUUUACUAAUCUGCUUGGGCUAGUAGAUUAGUUUGCCCUUUGAGAGAAUACAAAGGAUGAAUAUCUGCAGUAUGGUGUCCUAGCUUUGUUUUUAUUUGCUCUGCGGAGCAGUUGGGCAAACCCUUCCCAGCAGCGUCUUUCCUGGCUUGUAAGAAGAGAGAGUCAUGUAAAUAUGGCAGUGGAAAACAGAGAGAUGGCAAUUACCUGGAGGCAAGCGACAAAGCGCAGGUUGGGCCGGUGCAGCUGGUUUGUCUCACACAGCGCCAGCCGGUCCUGAUGGUGGUCCCAGGCACAGCUCCUUUUGUCAUUUCUUCAUUCCAGCCCAGGAACCUGUCAUCUCCUCUGAAGGCAGGUUUGUGAGUGCUGUGUGCGAAUUUUCGCUUUGAGAAGUGAAAAUGUUUUGUUGCUUGUUCAGCAGGAUCUGUCAGACAAAAUCUUGUGGCACCUGCCAUUGAAAUCAAGGGCAAAGCUGUGCCUGGAUUGAAAGCCUUGGGACUGAGCUGUCAGGUCCCUGUUGUGUAAAAAAA
ensembl:lncRNA